CGCGGCGAAUAUCCUGCUGACCGUCGGCCCGGUGCCCAUCACAGUUGUCGCCGGCGGUUCUGCUGUCGGGGAGAGCGGCGCAGGCUGAGGUGAGACUGGAUGAAUGUUUAUAAGAUUACGAGAGGAAUAGAUAGAGUGGACAGACGAUAUAUUUCUCCUGGGCGUUGAACUGUCUAACACAUUUAAGUUAGACCUGUGGUGAGAGAUUUAUUGGAAGAAAAACCCCAACUGGAAGCAAACCACGACUGAAGACGAGGGAACAGCAACAAGUGAACCAGCCCGAGGAUUGAGAGCAUCAACUGGAGAGGACCCAUCUGACUCGGAGAAUCCAGUGAUUCCGUCAGGAGAAAGUUUGAAUGCUGAAUGAAGUGACAAAGUAUCCCCGGCACUUAUUUUCAUUGAAAAGAUAUUGCCAUUCCGUCGUUGUGGUGGCUGGGUCGAAAUCCUGGAACUCCAACGCCAUCCCCAUCAGGAGUGCAGAGAUCCUUAACCAGAAGAAGUGCAGUUGUUCCGGAUGCAUUCACUGUCACUUCCUUUGCGGCAAUGGUGGAUGUGCCGUAAAAUCUGGCAUUGGUAAUGAAGUGUGGAUUCUGAAAAGUCAAUAACUGAAGACAGCAUUAUAGACUGCUACAGCACAGUGCAGGUCGCUCGGGCUAACCACUCCCUCCUAAAUCACCCUCUACUUUUCUAAAAUCUAUGUGCCUAUCUAAAAAUCCCUUUCAUGUCCCCAAUGUAUCUGCCUUUACCACCACCCUGGCAGUCAGUGUGUUCCACGCACCACUCUCUGUGCUUAAAAACAAUCUUACACCUGAUGUCCCCCUGUACUUUUCUCCGGUCACCUUAAAGUGAUGCCCUCUCGUAUCAGCCAUUUCUGCACUGGGAGGAAAGGUCUCUGGCUGUCCUUCUUGCGAGCCUUCAAGUGUAACUGAAGUUGACUUCAGCUUGUGAUGAUGUGUUCCCCUUUUCGGCAUCAUACCUGAUUGUGCAGGAUGAUGGCAGUUCCAUUUAUGCAAGAUUGGGAUCUGCUGCAGACUUUGGGUGAUAAUGGUGAGCAUAUGUUAGACCUGCGGUGAGAGAUUUAUUGGUAGAAAAACCCCAACUGGAAGCAAACCACGACUGAAGACAAGGGAACAGCAACAAGUGAACCAGCCCGAGGAUUGUCAGCAUCAACGGGAGAGAACCCAUCUGACUCGGAGAUUCCAGUGAUUCAGUCAGGAGAAAGUUUGGUUAAAAAUGACGAGGAAUUUGUUUCCGGGAAUCUCGAACACAACACACCAGUUUUGCUGUCUCUGUCCGGACAUUUAAUAAGUGGAGCAAGAGAUUCACUCGAUCAUCUGACCUGCUGGCAUGCCUGUCAUUUUACACAGGGGGGAGCCCAUUCAUUUGCUCAGACAGUAGGAAUGGAUCAGUCGGUCAUCUCCACUGAAGGUACAUCAGCAAAUUCACACUGGGACAAGGAUAUUCACCUGUUUUGUGUGUGAGAAGGGAUUCAGUCGGUCUUCCCACCUGUGGACACACCAGUCAGUUCACACUGGGCAGACGCUGGUUAUAUGCUGAAUUUUUGGGGAAGGAUUCACUCAGUUGUCUGACCUAAUGGCACACCAGCGAGUUCAAACUGGGGAGCGACCAUUCACCUGCUCAGUGUGUGGGAAGGGAUUCACUCUGUCAUCUCGCCUACUGACACACCUGUCAGUUCACAUUGGGGAGAGGCCAUUCACCUGCUCAGUGUGUGGGACGGGAUUCACUCGAUCAUCUCAUCAACAGAGACACCGAUGCAUUGGGAUCAAGAGCGCCGAUGAAGGGUCUUGGCCCAAAAUGUUGAUUCCCAUCCAUAGAUGCUGCCUGACAUGCUGAGCUCCUCCAGCAGUUUGUGUGUCGUUCUCUAGAUUUCUAGCAUCUGCAGGUCCUCUUGUUUCCCAGAUACUUAUAUGCUUCUUGAAAGAACAUGCCAAGAACAAGCUGAUAGUGGGAUUGUGUGGAUCUGUUGGUAAAAUAUUAAAUAAAAUCAUUAGAAAGACCUGGUAUAGGGUUGGAAGGUGUCGAAUCUGUGGGUAGAAUUAAGGAACAGCAAAUGUAAAAAAAAAUCCCUGAUGGGAAUUGUAUAGAGACCCCCAAACAGUAGUAAGUAUGUGGUCCACAAAUUACAAUGGGAGAUAGAAAAUGUGUGCCAAAAGGGCAAUGUUACGAAACUCAUGGGGGAUUGUCAUGCAGGUGAUUAGGAAAAUUAGGACGGUGUUGGUCUCAAGAUGAGGAAUUCCUGGAAUGCCAACAAGAUGCUUUUUUAGAGCAGCUCGUGGUUGAGCCCACUUGGGGAUCAACUAUUCUGGAUUGGGUGUUGUAAUGAAGCAGAAUUAAUUAGGUCACUUAAAUUCAAAGAACCCUUAGGGGCAAGUGAUCUUUAUAUGAUCAAAUUCACCCUGACAUUAGAGAAGGAGAAGCUAAAGUCAGAUGAGGAAUAAAGAGAAUUAGAGAGGCAUAAGAGAUAAACUGGUCAAAAUUGAUUUGAAAAGAACAUGGGCAGGGAUAAAAACAGAGCAGCAAUGGCAGGAAUUUCUGGAAGCAAUUCAGAAGGCACAGGAUAUAUACAGUGCCAUGCAAAUGUUUGGGCACCCCUGGUCAAAAUUUCUGUUACUGUGAAUAGCUAAGUGAGUAAAAGAUGACCUGAUUUCCAAAAGGGACAAAGUUAAAUAUGGCACAUUUCUUUAAUAUUUUAAGCAGGAUUACAUUUUUAUUUCCAUUGUUUACAGUUUCAAAAUAGCAAGAAAGGAAAAGGGCCCGAAGCAAAAGUUUGGGCUACCUGCAUGGUCAGUG